CACACUGCUAUGGGGAAAAUCACAGGGAGGGCGCUGUGACCAGCACACUCAGGCACCAAGUGUCGGCAUGGCUCACUGUGCUGGGUGAAGGCCUCCCUGAGCAUUAGGUCCUCCACGGGGCUGUGUCAAAUGCCCUCCCACAUUGUGUCAAGUCUGCCCAUGGCCCACCCUCCCCACAGUCCAAAACCACACAGCCCUGGUUCUCCAGCUGUUCUGCUGCUGUUUCUGUGCUCUCCCUGAUUAAGAGCAUUCAGUUCCUGGGCUCUCCCUUUGAGCAGGAAAUGGUGAAAGCAUGUGGCUAUGGUAUAGCCCACAGGGCUGAGAUUGCUGUGUUGCAGUAUUGAUGUAAAAUUUGUUAAGAAGGAAGUACCCACAGAUCACUGCCAUCAACUCCCCAGAAGUUGCACUCAAGCUAGUGAGCAGCCCUUGUGCUUGUCACAGUUACUGUAACAGGUAGUGUGUAUUUGCACCUGGCAUCGUGCAGCCUGCACGUCAACACGUUGUUUUGCGUAACUAGAACAGCACAUGGAACC
rnacentral:lncRNA from 1 species